rnacentral:lncRNA from 1 species
AAGCAAGGGAAGGUCAAAGCUACCGCUCUUAGACUUGCUGGAAAGGACUGAGAUUCUUGAUGGGAAGUCACAUCUAAAGAUAAAAAACACCUGUCUGCAAAUUCUUCGAGGCUUUUUAACAAGGGCCAGGAAUGUUAGCUACAUGAUGUGAUUUGUCCCAUCCUGAGAGCAAUCACCUGGCUUGGGACGCUCCAAUUCCCUUUUUAAGUAACCAUCUGUUGGUGUCACUGAGGGGAGAGAGAGAAGCUGUAGUAGUGGAAAGAACACAGCCUACUGAGUCAAGCAGAUCAGAGGUUUACUCAUGUCUCUACCAGUUUCCAGCUGUUACAACCUGGCAGAGCUGCCUCCCUGUUCCCGGACACAGUGGAAGAGCAUUCACCUGCUUUACCACCGAGUGUCUCCCAGGCCCAGAGCUGGCGCCACGGUCACCAUUUUCUGAUGGAUCCUUUGAGAGGAAUCUGGGAAGAGUCAGGGCUGGGCUCCAAGUUCAGUCGUUUUGGCUGUUGCUGCUGUUGUCCAAUUCUGCUUUGUUUUGUGGAUGUUUAGAUUUCUCAACUUAGCCACGAAGUGUCAAUUUUCCCUAAACCUACACUCAAAGAUAUUGGCAUUUUUUCCAUUUCAGAAAUGUAUGUCUAGUUGCAGUUUUGUUUCACACUUGAGGAUCUCUUAUCUUCCUACGAUCUAGAGUGAUAAAUCCCAAUCCUGGAAGCAUAUUAAAAUCAGCUUUC